AUACUAAAAAUCAAUCUGUAUAACCUCGAUAAUAUGGUUCGAGGGUCUCUACCAGGAUCCGUUAAGUCCUGACUACAAAAGAAAUUUUG
rnacentral:ncRNA from 1 species